UUUUACUUUAAAUUAAAAGAAUUCACUGUUCAUACCAUUAGAUUGUUAGCUACCCAAGUGUAAUAUGAAGUUCUGUUCCUCCAGUUUGUGUGUGGCCUCACUCUGGCAAUGGAUAGGAC